UACGUAGGGUGCGAGCGUUGUCCGGAAUUAUUGGGCGUAAAGAGCUCGUAGGCGGUGUGUCACGUCGGCCGUGAAAACCUGCAGCUUAACUGUGGGCGUGCGGUCGAUACGGGCAUCACUGGAGUUCGGCAGGGGAGACUGGAAUUCCUGGUGUAGCGGUGAAAUGCGCAGAUAUCAGGAGGAACACCGAUGGCGAAGGCAGGUCUCUGGGCCAUUACUGACGCUGAGAAGCGAAAGCAUGGGGAGCGAACAGG
rnacentral:rRNA from 1 species